GAUAAAAAUGUCAUAUUUCAUCUGUGGUAAUUUAUGUUAAAAAAGAGAGUCAUUUAGUUAAAAAAUAUUUUCUAUACAGUCAGCAUUAGUUUUUCUGUAUCUUAUUUUGAAGGAGUAGUCUGUGUUCGCAAUGCAUUGUGGGAAGCGGAAGCUGCAUUCAGUUGGGAAAAAGCAUUGUACAGAAAGCCUGCCUAUCCGUGUUUAAACUUCAUCUCCUGUGCCCUGAAUCUUUAUAUACACCAUCGAAAGCAAUGGCUGUAAGUUUAUUACAUGUUCUGGUUUGUUUAUAUGUUUAUAACAGCUGAUUUAGAGAUCGUUUUUGGUGAAUGUGUUUGUACCAGGAAUUAGCCUUAUCCCAGAAGCGGAUUUUGCUUAGAGCAUGGUCUAUUAACAUAGCAAUGAUGCUAGCGACCUAAUUUGCAUAUCAGAGGAUUGCUAAAACUACUGUUUGUCAUUGCUUAGCAGCUAAGACUAACUUUGAUACAUGUUUUCUAUCACUAGAUAUUUCUUUUUGUGCAUUUAUUUCACAUGUCAAAGAGCUAAAUGAUAUUUUAUUUUCUGGUUUAUUUUUUUAGUUUCACUCAGCACUUUCAUCGAGCUAUUCAAGCCACAAUUGUAAAAGAUUGUAAGCUGUCGAGAAGACCGUAAUAAAGGAGCAAGACGCUCAGUUUCCUGGCUCAUGAAAAUUGAGUUUGGCUUGCUGUUGACCUGCGUUAACAUACACAGUGUAUCCAACACGUAGCGAUAACAGUACAGUGAAAAGCCAAGUCAGCAGUUGGUGGAAGAUAAAGUUUUUGCCACAGCGAUGGAUGCCCACGGGGAGAAGGCAGAAGAAAUGGCUAACUCAGGAGACAAAGCAUCAUCAGAGGCUAGCUCCCGAUCCAAACACUCUGGCUCCAAGCGCUCAUCUUCCAAGUUGUCCUCAAGGUCCAGUGUAUUGGAAGCAGCCAUCUUUGCAAGAGCUUCUGCUGAAGCUACAAACGCCAAAGCCUUGUACAGUAGGAGACAAUUGGAAAUUAAAAAGCAGCAAGCAAAUCUGGAAAUGGAUUUACAGAUGUUAGAGUUAGAGAAAAAAGCUGCAGCCGCUACUGCGAAAGCAGAGGUUCUAGAAGCUGCCGCAGCUGUUGAACAAGAGCAAGGAGAAAGUUUAAAAAGUUCAGUCCCACCACAAGUUACCAGACAGAGAACUAUGGAGUACGUGCAACAUCAAAGCCAGCUAAAGUCACAUCCGGCUGAAGAAGCAACACCUCAAGUCGAACUGACAGCAAAGGCACCAUCAUUCACUCCUAGGAAACCAACCUCCUCUCCAUCUGUACUCUCAAAAAUGUACAUAGAGGAGGAAACUUUUGGCCCACCAAGAGAGUAUGUCGAGCCGAACAGUCACCAUGCUCCUCACAAUAGUGAUGCACCUAUGGCCGACUUUGCUAGGUUCCUUGCACGCAGAGAGUUAAUCACAACAGGGCUCUUUAAGUUUGAUGACACCCCUGAAAAUUUUAGAGCAUGGCAGUCUUCAUUCUUAAAUGCAACUGGAGGCAUUGAUCUUACAUACAGCCAGCAGUUAGAUCUCCUAGUCAAGUGGCUCGGUAAAGAGUCCUCAGAGCAUGUUAAAAGAAUCCGGGCUGUUUAUACCAGUAACCCCAAAGCUGCCUUCCAGUUGUCAUGGGAUAGGCUGGAGGAGUGUUAUGCUACACCUGAAGUAGUAGAGAAUGCCCUGUUUAAAAAACUGGACAGUUUUCCUCGCCUUACAAACAGAGACAAUGUUAAACUUAGGGAACUGGGAGAUUUGCUCCUAGAGCUGCAGGUUGCUAAAGACGAAGCCUACCUCCCAGGCCUCGCUUACCUUGACACACCACGUGGGGUUAAGCCCAUAGUGGAGAAGCUGCCUCCAAGCUUACAAGAUAAAUGGCUCCACACUGGUUCAAAAUACAAACAAAAAUAUAAUGUGACGUUCCCUCCAUUCUCAUACUUUGUAAAGUUUGUCCAGGAGGAGGCAAAAGCGAGAAACGAUCCAAGUUUUGCGUCAUGCAGCAGUCAACCCCUCAACAAAGGUGAGAGACCACCAUUCAAACAAACUAGCUACAAAUCACCUCUAACUGUAAACAGAACAGAGGUUGAUACAAGUGCUUCUGCUAGUAUCAGAGAGGAUGAUCUAACACGUUAUUGUCCAGUCCACAAGAAAACGCAUCCUCUAGCCAAAUGUAGAGCUUUCCGGAUCAAACCACUACAAGAAAGACGAAACAUACUCAAAGAACACAAACGAUGUUUUCGCUGUUGUUCUCCCAUGCACACAAUAAAGGUCUGCGACCUGAAGGUCAAGUGUGAGGAGUGCCAAAGUGAAAAACAUUGCUCUGCCAUGCACCCUGACACGGGUCAAAAACCCCAGCCAGAAAAUGCACCUGAACCAGAGCCUCAGCCUCAAGACAACACUCUACCCAAGGUAACGUCACGAUGCACUGAGAUCUGUGGUGAAGGCUGUCCUCCGCGUUCUUGCUCCAAGGUAUGUCUAGUUCGAGUUUUCCCUAAAGGUCAACCAGAACGGUCAGUUAAGAUGUACGCCAUUCUUGAUGAUCAGAGCAAUUGCUCGCUGGCACGUCCUGAAUUCUUUGAGCUAUUUGGAAUCAAGGGUAGCCCUCUGACAUACCAUAUGAGAACGUGUGCUGGUUUAACUCAAAUGCUCGGCAGGAAAGCAGUGGGGUUCCAAAUUGAGCCUGUAGGUGAAGGCCUACGUCUAGACCUUCCUCCUCUCAUUGAAUGUGAUGAGAUAGUAUUUAACAGAGACGAAAUACCUACACCUGAAGUCGCUCUUGCCCAUGCCCACUUGAAACAUCUGGCUCCUCUGAUACCUAAGCACGACCCAGCUGCCCAGAUUGCAGUUUUACUGGGCAGAGACAUCAUACAAGUCCACAAGGCACGACAACAAGUCAAUGGACCCCACAACGCUCCCUUUGCUCAGCGCCUAGACCUAGGCUGGGUAAUCGUGGGGGAAGUAUGCCUCAAUGCUCACAGGGCAACGGUCAAUGCCUAUAAAACUCACGUGCUCUCCAACGGACGUCCAUCUCUCCUCACUCCUUGUCCUAACAGCAUGAAGAUCAAAGAAAAACCAUGCUAUGGCGGGGAGCACAAGAGUAGCUUCUUAAAACGCAGUUCAAAACCCAAUGCAGCAGAAGAAAAGCUUGGAGAGAAAGUUUUUGAGCGCACAGAAUAUGACAACCAGCAUGCCCUGUCCUUUGAGGAUGAGACCUUCCUUAAGAUAAUGGAAAAGGAAGUCCACCAGGAUGGAAACAAUAACUGGAUUGCUCCUUUACCAUUCAAGUCCCCUCGCUUGCCACUUCCAAAUAACAGAGACCAAGCGCUGUCUAGACUUAACUCACUGAGACGCAACUUAACCAAAAACCCUCAAAUGAAAGAGCAGUUCUCAGAAUUUAUGGACAAACUGUUUAAAAACAACCAUGCAGAGAUUGCUCCACCCAUUGAUGAUAACACUGAGUGCUGGUACCUGCCUAUUUUCGGCGUAUAUCAUCCCCAGAAGCCCGGUCAGAUACGGGUGGUCUUUGACUCCAGUGCCGAGCAGUCUGGCGUGUCACUCAAUUCAGUGUUAUUAACGGGCCCUGAUCUCAAUAACACCCUCCUUGGUGUCCUGAUUCGGUUUAGGAAAGAACUCAUUGCAACCACUGCUGACAUCCAGCAGAUGUUUUAUGGGUUCCUGGUUAGACCAGACCACAGAGAUUAUUUGAGGUUUCUGUGGCACAAGGACAAUGACUUGUCAAAAGAGGUGCAGGAGUACCGCAUGCGGGUACAUGUUUUUGGUAAUAGCCCGUCACCAGCGGUAGCCAUCUAUUGCCUUCGAAGAGCCAUCCAGGAAGGUAAGGCAAAGUUUGGAGCAGACACAAGUCACUUCGUCGAGAGACACUUCUACGUCGAUGACGGGCUGAUUUCAGUUCCCACAGAGUCUGCAGCCAUCGAUCUGCUCAAGCGCACAUGUGCAUCCUUAGCUGAGUCUAACCUCAAGCUCCACAAAAUCGCCUCAAAUAGUGUCUCAGUCAUGCAAGCAUUCAAGCCAGAGGAUUUGGCCUCCGGCAUCAAAGACUUGAGUCUCGGUGACGAUACUUUACCGGCCCAGAGAAGUCUAGGAAUGUGCUGGGACAUUAAUACUGACUCAUUUACCUUCAAGGUAGCUGUCAAUGACAAACCCUAUACCCGCCGUGGGGUUCUCUCAGUGAUUAAUAGCAUCUUCGACCCCUUGGGACUAGCAUCGCCAGUGACAAUCAAAGGCAGACUCUUGUUACGCAAAAUGUCAAAUGGAGUCCAAGAUUGGGAUGCUUCUCUCCCCCAAGAGGAGAUGGACGCAUGGGAAACGUGGAAAAUGUCCCUCCAAGAUCUGAGCAGCCUUAGAGUGCCGCGCUGCUAUGUACCAGCCUCCCUUUCCAAGUCCACUUACACUGAACUGUGUGUCUUUAGUGAUGCCUCAAGCUGGGCUAUUGCAGCAGUUGCAUAUUUGAAAACAGUCAAUGCAGAGGGAAAAUGUGAAGUCGGAUUUGUGCUUGGGAAAGCAAAACUUUCACCCCAACCAGAACCCACAAUACCUCGUCUUGAGCUUUGUGGAGCAGUUCUAGCGGUGGAGAUGGCGGAGCUCAUUCUGGAUGAACUUGAUCAUAAACCGAACACUGUCAAAUUCUACUGUGACAGCAGGGUGGUUCUUGGGUACAUUUGCAACGAUUCAAAGCGCUUUUAUGUCUACGUACAUAAUCGAGUUCAUCGUAUACGCCAGUCCACAUCCCCUGAACAGUGGCAUUAUGUUACAUCAGAGCAAAACCCAGCUGAUCUAGCAACCAGGUCGGUACCUGCAUCGCAGCUCAUGGACACUAUGUGGUUUAAGGGACCAGACUUCCUUUACAAACUACAUGAACCAGAGACACAUGAAUCGUUUGAGCUGGUUGAACCUGAAGUGGAUGCUGAAAUCCGACAAGUUGGUACUUUCGUUACUCAGAUUCAGAAGAGCGGACUCACACCAGAACGCUUCCAACGCUUUUCAAGCUGGACGUCACUGGUACGUGCCAUUGCCUUCUUAGUUCACCAAGCUCGUUCUCACUCAUCAAGCAACUCGUCAAAUCAUUCAUGUAGGGGCUGGCAUAGAUGCAGAGAACCACGCACUCCAGAGGAGAUGGAUGCUGCCAGUAACCUCAUUCUCCAGUCUGUUCAAAAGGACGCCUUUCCUGAUGAGUAUGCUGCUCUCCAAAACAGUCAAACCAUCCACAGCUCUAGCCCCAUUGUGGCCCUUGACCCCUUCUUGGAUGAAGGCCUCAUCAAAGUUGGAGGUCGCCUCAAACAUGCUUCAUUGGACCCAACGUUAAAGAAUCCAAAAAUUCUGCCAAGCAAGCAUCAUGUGUCAAAGUUGCUUGUCCUGCACUAUCAUGCUAAGGUUGUGCAUCAAGGAAGGCAGUUCACAGAGAGUGCAGUUAGGCAAGCUGGACUGUGGAUUGUAGGCUGCAAAAGACUGGUCUCAUCCAUCAUCCACCGCUGCGUAACAUGCAAGAAACUCAGGGGGAAACUACAGACUCAAAAAAUGGCAGAUCUCCCGCCUGAAAGACUUGAAACAUGCCCUCCAUUUUCAUACGUCGGGUUGGAUGUGUUUGGCCCAUGGUCAGUGGUCACUCGACGCACACGAGGUGGCGCAGCACAAAGUAAGAGGUGGGCAAUACUUUUUACAUGUAUGACUACAAGAGGUGUACAUAUCGAAGUCAUUGAAUCUAUGGACACUUGCAGCUGCAUAAAUGCAAUACGCAGAUUCUUUGCAAUAAGAGGCCCAGCCAAACAAAUGCGGUCAGACAGGGGCACCAACUUCAUCGCAGCAAGCGUGGAGCUUGGCAUGGCACAACCAAACAAGAACCCUCCCAACAUUGUCAACCAUCUUCACGCCAACGGUUGCACAUGGGAGUUCAACCCCCCACAUGCUUCCCACAUGGGGGGCGUCUGGGAAAGGAUGAUUGGGGUAACUCGCCGAAUAUUGGAUUCUAUGCUCUUGCAGAACAAACACACCCGUCUGACACAUGAGGUGCUUUGUACCCUAAUGGCUGAGGUAUCGUCUAUAAUCAAUGCAAGGCCCUUGGUCCCUAUUUCAACUGACCCUUCCUCACCAUUCAUACUCUGUCCUGCAAUGAUACUGACCCAAAAGCAGGGCAUUCCUUCUCCACCAGGAGACUUUUGUGGAAAAGACUUGCUCAAGAACCAAUGGAAACAAGUGCAAGCACUCGCCAAUGGUUUCUGGAGUCGCUGGAGAAACGAAUAUCUCAACACCCUCCAGUCAAGGCGCAAGUGGCAUGGAACACACCGCAACCUUCAGUCAGGCGACAUUGUGUUGUUGAAACACAAUCAAGCACCCAGAAACGAAUGGACAAUGGCUAUCAUCACGGCGACCUUUCCAAGCAGUGAUGGGAAGGUCAGAAAGGUCGAAGUGAGGACAUCUUCCCAGGGAGUCUCAAAGACUUACCUGCGUCCCAUUUCAGAUGUUGUUGUGCUCUUAGAAAAGGAAAUGACUGAUAAAAAGUAGUAGUGGCAUCAGUAAUGCCAGGCGGGGAGUGUUCUGUCCCAAGUAAAAGAUUAAAAAUGAUUCAUAAUAAUUUAGUGAUAAAAAUGUCAUAUUUCAUCUGUGGUAAUUUAUGUUAAAAAAGAGAGUCAUUUAGUUAAAAAAUAUUUUCUAUACAGUCAGCAUUAGUUUUUCUGUAUCUUAUUUUGAAGGAGUAGUCUGUGUUCGCAAUGCAUUGUGGGAAGCGGAAGCUGCAUUCAGUUGGGAAAAAGCAUUGUACAGAAAGCCUGCCUAUCCGUGUUUAAACUUCAUCUCCUGUGCCCUGAAUCUUUAUAUACACCAUCGAAAGCAAUGGCUUUUCACUCAGCACUUUCAUCGAGCUAUUCAAGCCACAAUUGUAAAAGAUUGUAAGCUGUCGAGAAGACCGUAAUAAAGGAGCAAGACGCUCAGUUUCCUGGCUCAUGAAAAUUGAGUUUGGCUUGCUGUUGACCUGCGUUAACAUACACAGUGUAUCCAACACGUAGCGAUAACAGUACACAGCUCAUUAUUUAUUAUGGCAUACCUUAACUAUUACUUUAAAACUGCAUUAGCAUUGUGUU